AAAUGCCAUCGACCUGGACACAUUAAAAAAAAAAAAAAAAAGAGCAAUGAAAACAAAUACCAUUCAAAUAAUUAGGAUCUUAUGCCUGGGGCCAGCCUUGAUGCCAAGCAGGGACUCCCCUGUAGGAAUCAGCAUUGAGCCCGAUCCCCGGAAGGAGGGGAAGGAGGGAUCGGCUAAGACAAAGGCAGCUCUGGCCCGGAAUUUUUGCCAGCACCCCCCGCCCCUCCCGCCGCUACCGCCGGCCCCUUGAUGCUGAAGGCAACGCGUUUGAAGUAGUCUUCGUCGCCGACAUCUUGGGCGACUUUACAGCCCAGUAGCUCGUGUGGGGCUUCGGUGCUCGGAGGAUUACCGAGCUGCCCCAGGGAAGGGUCGAGAGCGCGCUCCCUACCGUGGCGGCGAAGCUAGCGGCGCCGCGCUCUUCAGUUCCAUGAAGGACAAGGAGGCAUUUGAAGGCCUACUUUAUUGGAUUGUAAUCUCCAGCAAAAUUUGUAGAUGAGUGACUGGAGAAAGGGAGAGAAGAAGAAAGAGAGAAUGGAAAAAGAAUGAAAGAAAUUAUAACUAAAGUCUAAGCAUUUUCUGGGGUUAAUUUGAAUUGGACCAGUUGGUUUUGUUUUGCAAUACAAAAGAAAAAUUCGGGCCUUGGGGCCUAAAAGUUUCAUUAAAUUCAGCUUUGGUGAGUUCUAAUAAUACAGCGGUUUAUUACAAGCGUGAAAAAUGUCAUUGUGGAGGCCUUCCUAAGCAGCAGCCUCACCUCUUGGGUAUGACUCAUACUUCCUCCAUGGCCGCCUGAGCUGUAAAGUUGUGGGCAGGAUAUUUAAGGCCCAGUGAACCAGCUCCUUGAAUCCUUCUUGCCAUUUUACUGGGAUCAUGUCCCAAUUAGCAAUCUUGCCAUCCAGAGCAGUAGCUGGACAGCAAAAGUGAGAGAGGGGCAGGGUGCUUAGGGCUGUUGCAAAUGAUUAGUCCAAAAGAGUAGCGUAAAACUUAGAACUCAGUCCCCGGCAGGAGUCUGCUGGAGGAAAUGAAGGGAUCAACAACAUGAGAGGAGUACUGUGGCCGAUUGUUCCGACCACAGCCACAGGCUUUUCUGUGUGUGCCGGAAAUUGACCUCGUCAAAAGCUGAGGAUGCAGGCUGGGCAAGGAUAAUGAUAAGGUGAAGACGGCUGGCUUCUCCGCUGGAGGGAUACCCUUUCCUAAAUGUCCUUGAAUGGUGUCCUGAAUCCUGGAUGAGCCCCAAACCCCUAGGAGUGUGAGGUGCUCAGAGCGCUGGAAAGACCAAGCAGGAUUCUUCCCAGCAUGGCCCUCCGGCUCCCCUUGGCACUCUAUACCUAACUGCGCAUAGGCUUUGGCGGCUGUUAAAGAAGGCUUAACUGUGAGACAGGAGAAGCAAUAAAGUACCGAAAAGCAAUAAAAGGAAUUUCCCAGAAAAGAAAAUGUCUACAUUUUUUCAGCAUCUAAAGUGAAACCUAUGCAGACGGGCAUCCCAUGGUAGGGAAGGGAGACAACAUUAAUUGGGCACAGUUUUAUCUGUGUUAUCUCAUUUAAUCUGGUAUUUAAGCUUGGAAGGUAGGUAGCACUAUAUUACCCCUAAUUAAAUGUAGGGAGAUAUUGAGGCUCACAGAGAUGAGGCAUACAGCUAAUAAGUGGUAGGGCUCCAGGCCCAUUCUCUCUUCACUACCUCACUGUGCCUCUCCAUCCAAAGCUCUGGUAAACCAUCUCUGGGAGGUCGUGCAGAGCGCAGAGCCUCACAGUGACUGCUCUAGCA